CAAUUGUGUGUAGUAGCACUACGAGAGUAGAUGUUCUCUGAAGAGCUGGGUCUUCAGGAGUUUUUUGAAGAUGGAGAGGGAUAUCCCUGCUCUAGUAGGGACUGGUAGAGAGUUCCACCAAUGAGGAACAACAGAUGAAAAAAGUUUGGAUUGAC